rnacentral:rRNA from 1 species
GACGAACGCUGGCGGCAUGCCUAAUACAUGCAAGUCGAGCGAACAGAUGAAGUGCUUGCACUUCUGACGUUAGCGGCGAACGGGUGAGUAACACGUAAGGAAUCUACCUAUAAGCGGGGGAUAACAUUCGGAAACGGGUGCUAAUACCGCAUAAUAUCUUCUUCCGCAUGGAAGAAGAUUGAAAGACGGCUCUGCUGUCACUUAUAGAUGACCUUGCGGUGCAUUAGUUAGUUGGUGGAGUAAUGGCCUACCAAGACGAUGAUGCAUAGCCGACCUGAGAGGGUGAUCGGCCACAUUGGGACUGAGACACGGCCCAAACCCCGACGGGAGGCAGCAGUAGGGAAUCUUCCGCAAUGGGCGAAAGCCUGACGGAGCAAUGCCGCGUGAGUGAAGAAGGCCUUCGGGUCGUAAAACUCUGUUAUAAGAGAAGAACAAAUUGUAGAGUAACUGCUACAGUCUUGACGGUAUCUUAUCAGAAAGCCACGGCUAACUACGUGCCAGCCGCCGCGGUAA